rnacentral:rRNA from 2 species
GAGACGAGGAACUUAGGUUCUGAAGCAAUCGGAAGUGGUUCCAAGAAAAGCCUCUAAGCUUCAGUCAUACGAGACCGUACCGCAAACCGACACAGGUGGGCGAGAUGAGUAUUCUAAGGCGCUUGAGAGAACUCGGGAGAAGGAACUCGGCAAAUUGGUACCGUAACUUCGGGAAAAGGUACGCCCCGGUAGCUUGAUUGGUUUACUCCAUGAGGGUGAAAGGGUUGCAAUAAACUGGUGGCUGCGACUGUUUAAUAAAAACACAGCACUCUGCAAACACGAAAGUGGACGUAUAGGGUGUGACGCCUGCCCGGUGCUGGAAGAUUAAAUGAUGGGGUGCAAGCUCUUGAUUGAAGUCCCAGUAAACGGCGGCCGUAACUAUAACGGUCCUAAGGUAGCGAAAUUCCUUGUCGGGUAAGUUCCGACCUGCACGAAUGGCGUAACGAUGGCCACACUGUCUCCUCCCGAGACUCAGCGAAGUUGAAAUGUUUGUGAUGAUGCAAUCUACCCGCGGCUAGACGGAAAGACCCCAUGAACCUUUACUGUAGCUUUGCAUUGGACUUUGAACCAAUCUGUGUAGGAUAGGUGGGAGGCUUUGAAGCGGGGACGCCAGUCUUCGUGGAGCCAUCCUUGAAAUACCACCCUGGUUUGUUUGAGGUUCUAACCUUGGUCCGUUAUCCGGAUCGGGGACAGUGCAUGGUAGGCAGUUUGACUGGGGCGGUCUCCUCCUAAAGUGUAACGGAGGAGUUCGAAGGUACGCUAGAUACGGUCGGACAUCGUGUUGAUAGUGCAAUGGCAUAAGCGUGCUUAACUGCGAGACUGACAAGUCGAGCAGGUACGAAAGUAGGACAUAGUGAUCCGGUGGUUCUGUAUGGAAGGGCCAUCGCUCAACGGAUAAAAGGUACUCUGGGGAUAACAGGCUGAUUCCUCCCAAGAGUUCAUAUCGACGGGGGAGUUUGGCACCUCGAUGUCGGCUCAUCACAUCCUGGGGCUGUAGCCGGUCCCAAGGGUAUGGCUGUUCGCCAUUUAAAGUGGUACGUGAGCUGGGUUUAAAACGUCGUGAGACAGUUUGGUCCCUAUCUGCCGUGGGCGUUGGAAAUUUGAAGGGGGCUGCUCCUAGUACGAGAGGACCGGAGUGGACAGACCUCUGGUGUACCGGUUGUCACGCCAGUGGCAUUGCCGGGUAGCUAAGUCUGGAAGAGAUAACCGCUGAAAGCAUCUAAGCGGGAAACUUGCCUUGAGAUGAGAUUUCCCAGAGCCUUGAGCUCUUUAAAGGGUCGUUCGAGACCAGGACGUUGAUAGGUCAGGUGUGGAAGUGCAGUAAUGCAUUAAGCUAACUGAUACUAAUUGCCCGUACGGCUUGUCCCU